GCGAAUUGGGGUCCAGCAGCGUCGGGGGGAGGUAGGCACCAAGCGUUGUCCGGAUUUAUUGGGCGUAAAGGGCUCGUAGGCGGUUCAGUAAGUCGGGUGUGAAAACUCUGGGCGCAACCCAGAGAGGCCACCCGAUACUGCUGUGACUUGAGUACGGUAGGGGAGCGGGGAAUUCCUGGUGUAGCGGUGAAAUGCGCAGAUAUCAGGAGGAACACCAGUGGCGAAGGCGCCGCUCUGGGCCGUGACUGACGCUGAGGAGCGAAAGCGUGGGUAGCAAACAGGAUUAGAUACCCUAGAGUC
rnacentral:rRNA from 1 species